rnacentral:rRNA from 1 species
AACGAACGCUGGCGGCAUGCCUAACACAUGCAAGUCGAACGAGACCUUCGGGUCUAGUGGCGCACGGGUGCGUAACGCGUGGGAACCUGCCCUUAGGUUCGGAAUAACUCCCCGAAAGGGGUGCUAAUACCGGAUAAUGUCUUCGGACCAAAGAUUUAUCGCCUUUGGAUGGGCCCGCGUUGGAUUAGCUAGUUGGUAGGGUAAAAGCCUACCAAGGCGACGAUCCAUAGCUGGUCUGAGAGGAUGAUCAGCCACACUGGGACUGACACACGGCCCAGACUCCGCCGGGGGCCGGCAGGGGGGAAUAUGGGAAAUGGGGCGAAGUCUUGACCCAGCAAUGCCGGUUGAGUGUUGAGGCCUUUGGGGUUGAAAACCUUUUUUCCCCGGGAUUAUAAGCACAGUCCGGGGAAAACAACCUCCGCCUACCCCCGUC